AGAAAAGUGGAAGAAACGAAAAUGGAGAAGAAUUAAUAACGGAAGAAAGUUAGAAAGGAGACACUCCCAUGAAGAUGGUUGCCAAUUUUCCCUCGUUAUUUCGGGGAGUGGAUCGUCUGCUGGGUGGUUGUCACUGUCGUUUCUACUCAAAACGAAAAAGCGUGCGAGUGGGCAGCCGUGCACUUUGCCUCCGUCGAGGCGCGCGAGGGCGUCACCAGAGCCUUCUGGCGUCCUGCUGGCUCCUCCUCCUCCUCCUCCUCCUCCUCCUCCUCCUCCUCCUCCCUGGCCUUCGUCCGCCUCCCCCACUGGAAGGCCCCGGAGGUCAUCAGGGCCAACGUGACAUCUAGACGUGACCUUCAUCCCCGCGACCCUUGCCACGAAGUCAUCGUCCGCGCCAGCAUACAAGAUGACUCUGCCGGACGACUCACGACGACCUACACGCUGGAGAUCCCGUCCCUUGGCGUGAGGUGGUCGUCGUCGUCCUCUUCCUCCUCGGGACGUGAUGCUGGGACGACGCGAGACGACCCGCACGACCCUCCGCUGGUCACCUUCCUCAUGGCCGACGUCAGUUAUUGGGGCGACGCCUGUCCUAAGGCCA